rnacentral:lncRNA from 1 species
UCUUCCUUACUGUGUGCACACGAUUGCACUGGGAGUUGUCAAUAUAACAAGUGGAUAAAACAGCCUCUCCUCUCAAGAAGCUUAUAAACCAGUAGAGGAAAAAUAGCAGCUUCACUAUAUGUGGAAAUAGCGGCUUCACUCUUAGAGUCAAUUGUCAUAAUUCCCUAAACUAGAAAAGAAGAAGGCAAUGAUUCUUACAGGGGUAAUCUGUAAAGGCUUUAUCAGGAAAGAUUUUUGCUAGGCCCCGAAGGAUCGACACUGUUUCAGUAAGUGAAGAUAGAGGAGAGAGCACUCCAGGGAAAGGUGUUGCCAGGAGCAAAGGGCAGAUUGUGAUGAAGGGAACCACUUUGGUGACUGAUGGGGCUUAAGAUCUCUCUGCAAGGCUACUUUCAAGUGAAUUUACAAACCAAGGGUGCAAAAUACAGCAGGAAUCCAGAACAUAAAAGGGAAAAAAUGAGCUAUAGGAAGAAAGAAAGGCACUUUGGCUUCAGGAGAUGUACAGCAAUAGAAAUGAGUCAACAGGAGUGAUCAUCAUCCAAGAGAUCAUCAUCUCUUCCUCAUCCUCCCCCUUUUUCUCCUUAUCCUCAUUCUCUUAUCUUCAUUAUCAUUAUGAUCACUGGCUCAUACUGAGAUGCAUGAAAAGGAGAGAAGGAAGGAAAGAAGGAAGGUGCAAGAGAGGAGAGUCUCCUGAAUUGUCCCUGGAUCUGAAUACCAUCCUAGGUGGGGGAUUUAGCCUUUUUCACCAUCCCUACCUCUAUACCUCUGGACUCUUUUUAAGAUCUGUCAAUAUUCACACACAUCAAAAUAAGUGAGAUUGGGAGGAUAGAAUAGACCAUCUUUUACUUCUAACAUAUUUAAUGGUUUCUGUAAGAGUCAAGGAGCUGCUUUCAAAUCAGCUUGUUGGUGGGUAUAAAGGAAAAGAAUCAACUGGCUUUGGCCAAAGUAAUGAAAAGGUCAACCAGUUUUCUUUCACCUUUGUUCUCUUACUAAUCAUGGGAAGGACACAGAUGGCUCCAGUUUAACUUCCUCUGUUCUCACAGGUGCCGGUCCAUUAACUUCCAAGAGAAUCCCAUGAGUAUAUAGUAUGGUUUCAAAAGAAUGGAAGCUAGAAUAACACAAAUGUGAACUCUAGUCCCAAUUCUUCUAAUUCCUGGGUUGUUGAUCCCAAACACAUUAUAUAAAGUUAUCUGUUCUUCCAUUUCCUCUAAUAAAAUAAGGCUAACAUA